GCAGAUACGCAUGUGAGCGCUGGUGGAAGACGCCAGGCUGAGAUUUCCGCUCGAUCUGGGAAUGAGCAAUGCAACUUAAUGACACCCGGAGCUCCUGAGUCACCUGGGGAAGAUGAAGAGAGCACUCACCCGCGCUGUGAGGGACGGCCUGUGUCAUCGUGUCAUCGUUGGAGCUUCCUAAGACUCCCAGAGGCUGAUGCACCUCCCAGACCCGCCUCCACCCUGCUCCAGGGGCUUCAUUGGUCCCUGCCCCGGGUCACCCCUCCGCUCACCGUCUCUCAGGUGUGGAAUAUCCUGCUCCAAUCAAAGCCUGUCACCUGCGUUGUCCAGUGAAACGUCAGCGGACAGGCGCUGCCCGGGCUCCAGGGAGCUCCUCACUGAGGCUCACUCCCUGCGCCUCUGCCAUCAGCACAGGGGGACCUGCCUGGCUGCCUGUGGGACCAGGGAGGACGCGCGGUGCGGGAGCAGAGCCAGCCACACUGCCGCUGCUGCACUGUUCAUCUGAGUGGCGCAAGAACUUGUCAGUGCCUUUAAUCUGAGGGAUGAGUCUCCAGGAGAGUUUGUUGUCAGGAUUUAACACUUACUCUUGGAAAAGCAGUGAUGUGUGCUGGAAAUGAACCGGGCAGACCCUACUCCCAUCUCCAUCUGCCUCAAUCUCAGUGCCCUCCACUCCCCACCAGCAGCGCCUGUCACCAAGUCACUGCACAACACCCACAAAUGGAGAGUGGAGGAGCAUCACUUUCCACCCUAGGAUCAUGACGAGGGCUCUGUAACUUCAACAAAUGCGCAGAAGACGCCCGGCCUCGAGCUUGUGCAGCACCUCCGGAGCCUGCCUUCCCUUGUCACCCACGGCACCAUGACUUUGGAGGGUCUCAGCUCAGUCCUCCCUCCAGAGGGGCUGUCAGUGCUGGGCAGAAAAUCACCCUUCAACGAUCGGGCCCAGCUGCGCUCUGUCAGAGAGCAGAGAAAGCAGGCCUCCGGGAGGUUCUCACUCCACCAAGGAGACGUCUCCACCCAGCGCUCAUCCUGAGCAAGGGCACUGGGAUGAAGAAAUGCAAUUUAAAAACCUGUGCUGCGAAUGAUGACUUCUGCUGCUUCCGUCUCUGGAGAGCUCUGGGCACUUAACAUCCUUCCACCCACAUGCCUGGGUCUGUGCAGAAACCUCACCCACGCGGAGGAGACUGCAUUUCCCAGUAGCAGAUUCAAGUCCUGAACUUCCUGUACCACAAAGUGUUACCCACACUGGUGGGUGCCAGCCUGAGACUCAACUAUCAGGAAAAACAUGAAGAAUUCAGUCCAUGCCCUCAAACGCACCCAUGUGGCUCCCAAACGGUGAAUCUCAGCAAUGAGAUUCUCAGCUAGGAAAGUCCACACUGAACUCACGCAGAGGACAAAGUACAUAGGCCUGGGGUUCUUGGCACCUGAGAUCUCUGAGCAGUUUUCUGAAUUUUCCUAUUUCCUGUUGAAGACAUAGGAACACGUGGCACACAGGCACAGAGACCUGGAAACCAACAGGUGACCUCAGGGAGGUUUGUGAAGCACCCUGAUGAGAAGACAGUUGGGCAGAGGUGGCUGGCUAUUCCCCAAGUCCAUUUUCCCUCCUGGGACCAGAGCUGACUCCAUUUCUCAAUCUGCCUUGCAGUGAGCAUAGUCAGCUUCCUGGCACUGCUGGACCUGUCCUGAAGGCUCUUUUGGCCGGAAAUGGAUGGGCAGGGAUCUGAGAGCACCUGCUAUCGGGUGAGUCCUGCUUUACUCAUGUCAGAGAUUUAGACUAAAACAAACACAAAAUGCAACAAAGACCUAAGUGUAAGAGCUAAAAGUACAAAACUCUUAUAAAAAAAGUAAGUGUAAAUGUUCAUGGUCUUGGAUUAGGUAGCACUCUCUAGAGCACAUACAACCACAGGAAAAAAAUACAUAAAUUGAAUUUCAUCAAAAUUUAAAACUUUUGUGCAUUAAAGUUCACGAUCAAGAAAGCGAGAAGAAAACCCAGAGAAUGAGUGAAAUAUUUGCAAAUCAUACAUCUGGGACAAGUAUCCAGAAUAUAUAAAAAUUCUUAGAACUCAACAAUAUAAAGAAAAAUAACCAAAUUAAACAGUAGGCAAAGGAUUCGAAGAGACCUUUGUCCAAAGAAGAUACACAAAUGACCAAUGAGUACGUGAAAAGAUACUCAGCAGCUACUCAUUAUGGAAGUACCACUUUCCACUCAUGCCGAGGGCUAUAAUAAAAAACAAAACAGAAAUGACAAGUGCAGUGAAGAUGUGGAGAAACUGGAUUUCUCAUAGAUUGCUGGUGGGAAAGUAACAUGGUGCAACCAAUGUAGAAACAGUUUGGCAGUUCCUUAAAAAAUUAAACAGAGCUACCAUCUGA
rnacentral:lncRNA from 1 species